AUAGCCGCGAGGAAGAAAAGUUCAUAAAUUAAUUAGACCUCAGAGGAACAAGAUCUUAUAGAUUCUUUUGAUGAUGACCUAAGUGUAGAAAGAUCAUUUAGUAGGGUAGAAAGAUCAUUUAGUAGGGAUACUAAUGAGAAUUAUUCUCCAAAAGGAACAUCAAUUCAUCCAAAGUAGGAGUAUAAAACAUUCGAUUGAUAACAAUUUUAACAAUAUGGAAAUAAAAUUAUUUCGACGGUUUAAGAAUAAAAUAAAAUAUAAUAAUAUGGAAAUAAAAUGUGGAAACAUGCGAUUGAAUCACUGGCAACUUAUCGCUUUAUCCAAAUGCCGCUUUCAUGGUUAUGGCUCCCGCUACAACCUGAUGAGAGGUAGAGUGUUAGAGCACAUUCGUGUGUCUCUUUAGGGCAUCUUUAAAAAGCCAUUUAAUUCCACCAAAACCCGAUAAGUCCAUGCUGCAUCCACAAAACCGUGGGUGUCUUUAGUAUCAGAAUUUAAUCAUCGUCUUGUUAUAUAUAUUUUCGAAAUAUAAUUUUAAGUUUUAUAUCUAUGUAUAUGUGUUGACAAUUUUAACUCUCACCAGCAAAAUAUAAAACCUAGACAAGUUUC
rnacentral:lncRNA from 1 species